GGCGCGGAGGGCAACCUUCGGGUCGGUGAUCCCAAAAGACGAUCAAACUUGAUCAUCUAUAGGAAGUAAAAGUAGUAACAAGGUUUCCGUAGGUUUCCUGACGGA
rnacentral:rRNA from 1 species